AUUACAUAUGCAUAUAGUGUUAGUGCUAUAAUAGUGUAGUAUCUACUCACAAAGUUAUCAGGUUAAAUAGCUUUAAAAACUAAUAAAAAUGUUAUUGCAUAACUAGUGUUGUACGGUAGCCCUGCCCCGAUAAACAGCAAAAAUUAUUUUGCUGAGUAUCGUAGUAAAAGUUAAGAUAUAAAGUUAAGUUGUUUUUGAGUCGUGCAACAACAUUACAGCACGC
rnacentral:misc_RNA from 1 species